UUAACUCAGAUGUAGUCAAAAAAUACUUCGCAUAAAUUGACCCGCUGGACGAAAAGAAUAAAAGAGUCCAGGCAAAAAGGGCAUCCCGGCGAACCAAGGAAAAAAAGAAAAAGGUUCGGGCAAAAGUUAGGGAUAAAAAGAAUAAAAAAUAUGUACACCCGGUAAGUCGAAAACCCGCCAGGGCGGCUUAGGCAAAAAUGGG
rnacentral:lncRNA from 1 species